rnacentral:rRNA from 1 species
CAAGUAGGUGGUCGUACAAGUUUACUGUGAAAGCCCUGGGCUUAACCCAGGAAGUGCGGUGGAUACUGUAUGACUAGAGUACCGGAAGGGUGCGUGGAAUUCCCAGUGUAGCGGUGAAAUGCGUAGAUAUUGGGAGGAACACCAGAGGCGAAAGCGGCGCACUAGACGGCAACUGACACUCAACUGCGAAAGCGUGGGGAGCAAACAGGAUUAGAUACCCUGGUAGUCCACGCUGUAAACGAUGGACACUAGACGUGGUGGGUCUUGACCCCUGCCGUGUCGAAGUAAACACGAUAAGUGUCCCGCCUGGGGAGUACGGUCGCAAGACUAAA